CCUACGGGUGGCUGCAGUGGGGAAUAUUGCGCAAUGGGCGAAAGCCUGACGCAGCAACGCCGCGUGAGCGAUGAAGGCCUUCGGGUCGUAAAGCUCUGUCCAUAGGGAAGAAUACAAUGACGGUACCUUUGGAGGAAGCCCCGGCUAACUACGUGCCAGCAGCCGCGGUAAUACGUAGGGGGCAAGCGUUAUCCGGAAUCACUGGGCGUAAAGGGAGCGUAGGCGGUUUGACAAGCCAGAGGUGAAAGGCAAUAGCUUAACUAUUGUAAGCCUUUGGAACUGUCGAACUUGAGUGCAGAAGAGGAGAGCGGAAUUCCACGUGUAGCGGUGAAAUGCGUAGAGAUGUGGAGGAACACCAGUGGCGAAGGCGGCUCUCUGGUCUGUAACUGACGCUGAGGCGCGAAAGCGUGGGGAGCAAACAGGAUUAGAUACCCUUGUAGUC
rnacentral:rRNA from 1 species